GGCAAGGUAGCUCAGUUGGUUAGAGCACAGCACUCAUAAUGCUGGGGUCGCGAGUUCGAAUCUCGCCCUUGCUACCA
rnacentral:tRNA from 3 species